rnacentral:rRNA from 1 species
CUACGUGCCAGCAGCCGCGGUAAUACGUAGGUGGCAAGCGUUGUCCGGAAUUAUUGGGCGUAAAGCGCGCGCAGGCGGAUAGGUCAGUCUGUCUUAAAAGUUCGGGGCUUAACCCCGUGAUGGGAUGGAAACUGCCAAUCUAGAGUAUCGGAGAGGAAAGUGGAAUUCCUAGUGUAGCGGUGAAAUGCGUAGAUAUUAGGAAGAACACCAGUGGCGAAGGCGACUUUCUGGACGAAAACUGACGCUGAGGCGCGAAAGCCAGGGGAGCGAACGGGAUUAGAUACCCCGGUAGUCCUGGCCGUAAACGAUGGGUACUAGGUGUAGGAGGUAUCGACCCCUUCUGUGCCGGAGUUAACGCAAUAAGUACCCCGCCUGGGGAGUACGACCGCAAGGUUGAAGCUCAAAGGAAUUGACGGGGGCCCGCACAAGCGGUGGAGUAUGUGGUUUAAUUCGACGCAACGCGAAGAACCUUACCAGGUCUUGACAU